UACGGAGGGUGCAAACGUUGCUCGGAAUCAUUGGGCGUAAAGCGCACGUAGGCGGCCUGAUAAGUCGGGUGUGAAAGCCCUGGGCUCAACCCAGGAAGUGCACUCGAAACUGUCAGGCUUGAAUAUGGAAGAGGGUCGCGGAAUUCCCGGUGUAGAGGUGAAAUUCGUAGAUAUUCGGAAGAACACCAGUGGCGAAGGCGACACACUGGCUCACUACUGACGCUGAGGCGCGAAAGCGUGGGGAGCAAACAGG
rnacentral:rRNA from 1 species